rnacentral:misc_RNA from 1 species
UCAAGUCCCUCUUUGAGAGUCCGAGAACGCGUAACAUUAACCGUCCUGAACAAGCCAGUUUUGCGGCGCGAUUCUGCUUUCCAGACGGAUGUCCCAUCGUCGCAUCCUGCUUGCUUCCUUUGCAGCAGGCAGGAGUGCGGGAAUGAAGACCUCGGCGCGGUUUGCGCCAAGGACGGUUGUUGUUGGAGUGCAUCGCCCGCUUUACGCGGUGCAGUGUAUCCUCCUAACGGUGUGAGAAAAUGCAUGACUCUUGGCAACGGAUAUCUAGGCUCUCGCGUCGAUGAAGAACGUAGCAAAAUGCGAUACUUGGUGUGAAUUGCAGAAUCCCGUGAACCAUCGAGUCUUUGAACGCAAGUUGCGCCUAAGACCGUCAGGUCAAGGGCACGUCUGCUUGGGCGUCGCGCCUUACGUCACUCCAAACCCCUGCCACGCGUAAACCGCUGUGCUGGUAAGGGUGCGUGUGUGGAUGUGGAUAGUGACCCCUCGUGCUUUCGGUGCGCGGUGGGUUUGAGUGAUGGUCGUUGCUAGGUUUCGCACGCGGCGAAUGGUGGAUUAGAAUGCGCCUUCGGUUGUGCACAAGACUCCCGGCCGCGACCCACAAGAAGUAAAACCUGCGACGGUGCUUGCGCGUUACGCAAGCUCGGACC